UUGCUCUAAUGCUUUUGCAAAAUGUUUCAACUUCAGAAAACUUCAUAGAAAGGACUCUGACAUUUACACUGGAACACAGGUUUCUGACAAACUUUCUGAUCAUAAAACUGAACUUGGUAAGAAAUUACAGAAAUCUGAUAGAGAGACUGAUGACUUCAUGAAGCUGCUAACCAAAAGAUUGGGAUCAAGAAUGGAUUAUACAGGACUGAAUGAACUGAUAAGGAUGAUUAUAAUUUUUAUGAUUUUUCACUUGAAGUAUUGCUGAAUUUUUAAUGUUUUGUUUCUUCAGAUUUAAGGAAAACUUUUUCUUGUUUCUCCUGAGCUAGCUAUGACUUAUAACAAUUUGGUUUAACCUUGAGAGCCCACCUGCAUCACCACCUUCUAAAAUGAACUUAAUUGAACUGAUCUAUUAUCAGGACUAAGAAAUGGGUUCAGUGAGAUGAAACAAUCUACCAACUCAGCUUCUGGACUAUGAAACUUCUUUAAGUUUCAAAAGGACUGUGAAACUUUUAGUUUCAAAGGCGGGACUGUGGGAGAUCAAGAUUUGGCCACCCUGAAAUAUAUCUCUUUACCUUGA